AAAGUGCUUACUGUUUUGGGCGU
rnacentral:miRNA from 14 species